rnacentral:misc_RNA from 1 species
GGCUGCCGUUGCCAGGUCCCUUCUCUCUUCUCGGGUUCGAGCGUUCAUUGCGAGAACAGUGACACUUCUGCUCUGAAUCGACUCUUUAAGCUGAUUGCCCCUCCCCUCUCACCGAACUGCGACUUUCUGCUGGCUGUCCGAGACCUCUCUCAGCCGGACUAGGGCGUCGUCGGCGGUGGCAUCGCCGGGCCCGCCGUCGGCGCCGCCUUCCCCUUGUUUGCCAGUGUGGCGGUGCGGGAGCGCCACGCCUGCCUUACCCAGGAUACGAUGUCCCGCAACAGCGGCCUCUAAUACCCACCGACUCCGUCCAGGCACAGUUAUGUAUUGCUGGCAGCGCCGAACAUUUCGGCGCCUGAAGAGGCGUUUUUCACCGCGCGUUGGCCACGCGAAAGAUGUGGAAGUGCACCACCGUAUGCAGUGCAGAGGAGGUAGGGCAGCGGAAGGGCCGGAUCGACAAGGCGCAGAGGCUUCGAAUCCCCUGCGAAAUGGUGACUGCCACCAGGGGCACAUACUGUGGAUCCACUUGUGCAUAUGCGCACGCCCGCCAACUCCACCAGCAGCGGUAUCGCCGAUGUGCGACUUGGAAGUGGCGCAGUAGGAUAUAUGUCCGGACUUGAGCACCUGCAUGCGCACUUCCAUCCGAGUCACCGUUGGUAGCAGUUGCAGGCAAGUCGUGGAGUCUUGUGGCGUCGAGGCGGGAUGGGCGGUCAUGCGCUUCGCCGGGCUGCACAGGAACACUUUGGUGGACGAUGAUGGACUUCGGCAGCGCAUGCCUUCGUCAGUCAUCGAUGCAUUGCCUGUGCGCAUGCAAGGGCUGCUACGCCGGAUACCCUUGGCAAGUCACCACUCACCCCUCUCGCCGAACCUAUGCCCUCUGCCGAGGCUUCUCGAGCGGUGCGCACACAGCGUGGCGGGCCUGGCUAGCCAUGUCUGCCUCAGCCCUACGCGGUUCGUAUGGGCGACCCCGGGAAUGCUUGAAGUGAUAGCGCAUGCACUGGAAGAGGUGGUCUUGACAGCCGACAUGCUGCCGUGCGGCGGUACCCGACGGCAAUGCAGCGCGAGCGCAUUUUCUCUCUGACUUCGCCGACAUUUGGCCGAGACGGCGAGGCGUUAGGGAGGAUGUUAGCGAUCUUCUCGUCGACGCGGCCGGCCACGUCUCCGACAAGAAUGCUCUCAUGGAAGACGGUAGUCCGGCUCGCCGCACGAAUCUUGGCGGCGUAACUGUGAAUAAGUCAGUCGCGCCAAGAAGUACUAUCGAAGGUGCCGAGAUGGCGGCGUGGCUGAGUGGAAUCGAGUCGACUGGGCUGAACGUGAGCUCUGCCGUUGGCGAUUUCGUCUCAUCAUCGCUGGCCCGUCCAAAGCAGUUUAGCAAUCAUCCAGCCACCAUGGGCCGUGGGAUGCUGAAGGGCCCUCCAAAAUAUACUACUGAGCAUGCAUUGCCAGUGGAAGGCAACAGCACAUGUCGCCGUGUGCCCCAUGUCCGGUGUCAUUGAGCGUUGCGACUGCGCCACUACUAUUUUCUUGGUCUUCUUUUUUUUCCUACACCGACGGUUACUGCUCUGCACUGAACGACGUAUCGCUGUCUCCGCAACGACCGC